CCUGUUUCUCGUGGCAGUCGCGACUCGAUCUCGGCCGAGGUCGGAAUGAACGCGGCUCAUACCGGAGAGAUGUUCCAGUGGCGACAGGGACGACGGGCUCUUGCCAGUGCCUGCCCCUGGUAAGAAGCUACGGCUCUGUAUCAGGGGCAGGUACCCAACCUACCGUCCCCGGACUGACUUAUGGUAACUCGACCCCUGCACGGAUCUCGGACUGACCCUGGCAACUAACCCCUGCCAGGCCCCCUUACCCCCCAGCCUCCAGGAGCAGACGUCAGACGAACACCUUUCCCUUCAGCACUGCAAGCAUUCCUUUGCCUUCUGGUGCAGCUGCCCUGCUUGGGCGCGACCAGAAGAAAUGAAUCGCCUCUUUUGCUCGCUAUUCUCAAGACUGCAGACAUUGGAUGCUUCUUGUGGUCAUUAUUUACGAUUUGUGAUCUCGAUGAAUUGACAGACUCACCGAUAUCAGGCCGUAUUUUAAUCUAUCCGGAUACUCUUCACGAUCAAAAAGUCACGAUCAAAAAGAUACUUGCAUCAAGUGUCCAUAGCAACACAAUUACUUUCUUUAUUCUUUCUCGGUCAGCGAUGUUUCUGGACGGCGCUUCAUUCCCUGCGUUAAUGUAUUGGUGAAGUUCCUUGUGAUCCUGUAGAUUUCCUCAUUGUACUUAGCACUAUGUUGUAUUUAAGGUACAAUAUGUUGUGCUGCUGUGUAUGAGGCUAUCUGAAGUUGUUUCUAUCACUGUUGAAUAAAUUCUAUUUUCGUU
rnacentral:lncRNA from 1 species